UUAAAAUAAUAUUUCGUUCAGUUUGGAACUUUACUUUUCCUUUUUAUAUUCUUCCCAAACCCUAGAUUUCACCGAUCCCAACUUCCUAGGCUCUGCAACGCAUUCGCACCCGACCCGUGGUGCAGAUCCUCCUCGUCCUCCUCCACGCGACUCACGUUGUCCACCAGCACCCGCGCCUUCAGCGAAACGACGCACCGCUCGUCGUCACCGUAGAAGCGCAAGCGCAGCACAGCGCGACGCUCAGAGAGCUUGGACGCAGCGUCGUCGAAGAAGAGGUUUUUCUGGCGGUGGGUGACGACGUGGAAAGGGGAGAGCAAGCUGGUGACACGACGGUGGGCGUUGGUGUCUGCGAGGCGCAACUUCACUUCCACCUCCAUUGGGAAAGAAAGGUGGGAGACUGAGGCUAGGGUUUUAUGAGGAGAGGCCGAUACGAUGCGCCUUGGAAGCGAGAUCUUCAGCACCGCGAUCCAGCUGACGGAGGAGAGAAGUGGUGCCAGCAGGGGCGGUAGCGGUGGCAGUGGUGACGGGAGCGUUGCGUCGGCGAGCUUCCUCGAGUUCUUCUUUGUCUUCGAUCUUGACUUCAAUUUUUGUUGGCUUUCUUCUCAGCAUUUUCUAACUUGCAAACCGCUCUUCCGCAUAUUCUUUCUUGCGUCGGCAAGCAUGUUCGAUUUUUGUUUAGGGUAAAGGAAGAGAGGAUUGAUGUGUUGCUACUUUUUGGUUUUUACUGAGUAAGCAGUGAGAGAUGGCUGCUAUGAAGUUGUCCUAGGUGUUUUUUCCUUUGCAACUCUUGGUUUCUCGUUUUAAAUCCUUUCUAUUUGUCACAUACUUAUGCCAUUUUUUGGACAGAACUUCUUCUUUCAUUCUAGCAGAAGAUACUUUCCCCAGCUUCUUGCAUGUAAUAUUCAACCAUUCUUUCACCUUACCCUCGUUUAGUAUGAAUAUUCCAGAUCUGUUGCACUUUCCAAGAGUGAUCUUACUGAUGACGUUGUGUUACUAGUAGUUAUGGUAUGAGUUAUUUGUUGGCCAACCACCAUUUUACACAAAUUCUGUAUAUGCUCUCAUCAGACACAUUGUUAAGUUCAACAAUCCAGGAUCCUGUUAAAUAUCUUGAUCGCAUGAGUCCAAAUUUCAAAUGCUUCUUAAAGGGUUUGCUUAACAAGGAAUUGCGAGAGAUAAAUGGUUCACGCAUGCGUAGUGAAGCAGAACGGAUGGUUGAAGGGCUGCCAAAGAUUGGACAGACUUGAAAAUAACUCUCGCACAGUCAAAGAUGCAAAACUAAUUUGUCAAGAUAAUGAAGCGUUGGGACAUAUUCUGCUACCACUGCAAAAAUGGUCAAAAGGAUCUCAAAAUAUUUGCAGUGAUCAAGAUGUUCCUCAAUCAAAUUAGUCAUUGAGGAUUCUCUCAAACCUAGUUGCAGCUGGUGCCUUCAAUUCUAGUGGAACUAGUAAGAGAGCUUCUUGUGUUUACUGGAGACGUUAUAGCCAUUAAGUCCUCUGAAGUUACUGACAUGAUAGCAAAGGUAUCUGAUCAAGGGAAUGUGCCAAACAAUGGAUGUAAUGAAGAAGAAGAAAAUUAGAUAUUGUUAUUGAAUAUCUUUGAGUCAUAUUUUUAGUAUGUAGUAAACAUCUAUAUUGAACAUAUGUAAUGAACAUCUUUCUUUUUAAUUUUUAUGUAUGAACAUGUAUGAAUGAUAUUAGGUUACAAUGAAAUAGUUUCCUAUUAUUGAAAGAAGGAAGAAAAGCACAUUAUAAUGUUGAUGUUGAUGGGUAUUUUGAAAAUGUUGAUGCCAACACUUCACCUUCAAUAUUAAUCU